GUUCAUUGGAUUCUAUCAUUUGGGGCCAGGCCACACUUCAGGCCAAAUCCAUAUUAUGAAGACCUGGAGAGAAUGGAGGAGGCGGUCAUGUCAAUUCUGCACAACUUAGAGAUGGAGAACACUGAAAUCCAUGAGAACAACCAUAAGCUGAAGAAGGAGAUUACCUUCUUUAGAAACCUGCUCAGCCAGCUCCUGAUGGACAACACAUGUAGGAAGAAGUUGUUCCCACUGAAGCAGGAGAGCAAGGAGGUACAUCUUGAUUGUGCACUGAACCAGAAAUAUUUGGUUGACUUCAACAAGAAAGAUAAAGACCAGCAACGUCCAGACCCAGCAUCAUCUGAAAACACCACUUGAGAGACAGCUUGGGGGACCGCCUUUCAUUAUGUGUGCUAGAGGAGAAACAGCAAUACAUCUGUGCUUCUACAUGUUCGUUAAGAAUAUGCUGUUUAGAAAUAUUUUUGUUAUGAUUUUAAUUGAAGUUUUCAUUUUGUUGUUUCAUAUUUAUAUGUUCUUGUU
ensembl:lncRNA